GAUGAACGCUAGCGGCAGGCUUAACACAUGCAAGUCGAGCGGAGAUGAGGUGCUUGCACCUUAUCUUAGCGGCGGACGGGUGAGUACUGCUUAGGAAUCUGCCUAUUAGUGGGAUAACGUAGCGAAAGUUACGCUAAUACCGCAUAUUCUGUGCGCAGGAAAGAGGGGGAUCUUCGGACCUCUUGCUUUCGGAGCGGCCGAUGUCAGAUUAGCUAGUUGGUGAGGUAAAGGCUCACCAAGGCGACGAUCUGUAGCGGGUCUGAGAGGAUGAUCCGCCACACUGGGACUGAGACACGGCCCAGACUCCUACGGGAGGCAGCAGUGGGGAAUUUUGGACAAUGGGCGCAAGCCUGAUCCAGCCAUGCCGCGUGAGUGAAGAAGGCCUUCGGGUUGUAAAGCUCUUUCGGCCGGGAAGAAAUCGCGUGAGUUAAUACCUUGCGUGGAUGACGGUACCGGAAUAAGAAGCACCGGCUAACUACGUGCCAGCCGCCGCAGUAACAC
rnacentral:rRNA from 1 species